rnacentral:rRNA from 1 species
UACGUAGGGUGCGAGCGUUGUCCGGAAUUAUUGGGCGUAAAGAGCUUGUAGGCGGUCUGUCGCGUCUGCUGUGAAAAUCCGGGGCUCAACCCCGGACUUGCAGUGGGUACGGGCAGACUAGAGUGUGGUAGGGGAGACUGGAAUUCCUGGUGUAGCGGUGAAAUGCGCAGAUAUCAGGAGGAACACCGAUGGCGAAGGCAGGUCUCUGGGCCACUACUGACGCUGAGAAGCGAAAGCAUAGGGAGCGAACAGG